rnacentral:rRNA from 1 species
UCUGCCCUAAUACGGCGGACAUAUGACGGUACCGUAAGAAUAAGCACCGGCUAACUACGUGCCAGCAGCCGCGGUAAUACGUAGGGUGCAAGCGUUAAUCGGAAUUACUGGGCGUAAAGCGUGCGCAGGCGGUUAUAUAAGUCAGAUGUGAAAUCCCCGGGCUCAACCUGGGAACUGCAUUUGAGACUGUAUAGCUGGAGUACGGCAGAGGGGGAUGGAAUUCCGCGUGUAGCAGUGAAAUGCGUAGAUAUGCGGAGGAACACCGAUGGCGAAGGCAAUCCCCUGGGCCUGUACUGACGCUCAUGCACGAAAGCGUGGGGAGCAAACAGGAUUAGAUACCCUGGUAGUCCACGCCCUAAA